AAGUGUUAUCCGGAAUCACUGGGCGUAAAGCGUCUGUAGGUGGUUUAGUAAGUCAACUGUUAAAUCUUGAAGCUCAACUUCAAAAUCGCAGUCGAAACUAUUAGACUAGAGUAUAGUAGGGGUAAAGGGAAUUUCCAGUGGAGCGGUGAAAUGCGUAGAGAUUGGAAAGAACACCGAUGGCGAAGGCACUUUACUGGGCUAUUACUGACACUCAGAGACGAAAGCUAGGGUAGCAAAUGGGAUUAGAUACCCCAGUAGUCCUAGCUGUAAACAAUGGAUACUAGAUGUUGGGCAGAUCGACCUGUUCAGUAUUAAAGCUAACGCGUUAAGUAUCCCGCCUGGGAAGUAUGCGCGCAAGCGUGAAACUCAAAGGAAUUGGCGGGGGCCCGCACAAGCGGUGGAGCAUGUGGUUUAAUUCGAUGCAACGCGAAGAACCUUACCAGGGUUUGACAUGAUACGAAUUUUCUUGAAAGAGAAAAGUGCCGUUUGGAACGUAUACGCAGGUGGUGCAUGGCUGUCGUCAGCUCGUGUCGUGAGAUGUUGGGUUAAGUCCCGCAACGAGCGCAACCCUUAUUUUUAGUUGCCUUUUAUGGAACUCUAGAAAGACUGCUG
rnacentral:rRNA from 1 species